rnacentral:rRNA from 1 species
GAUGAACGCUGGCGGCGUGCCUAAUACAUGCAAGUCGAGCGAACAGACGAGGAGCUUGCUCCUCUGACGUUAGCGGCGGACGGGUGAGUAACACGUGGAUAACCUACCUAUAAGACUGGGAUAACUUCGGGAAACCGGAGCUAAUACCGGAUAAUAUAUUGAACCGCAUGGUUCAAUAGUGAAAGACGGUUUUGCUGUCACUUAUAGAUGGAUCCGCGCCGCAUUAGCUAGUUGGUAAGGUAACGGCUUACCAAGGCGACGAUGCGUAGCCGACCUGAGAGGGUGAUCGGCUACACUGGAACGGAGACACGGUCCAGACUCCUACGGGAGGCAGCAGUAGGGAAUCUUCCGCAAUGGGCGAAAGCCUGACGGAGCAACGCCGCGUGAGUGAUGAAGGUCUUCGGAUCGUAAAACUCUGUUAUUAGGGAAGAACAAAUGUGUAAGUAACUAUGCACGUCUUGACGGUACCUAAUCAGAAAGCCACGGCUAACUACGUG